GAGUUUGAUCCUGGCUCAGAUUGAACGCUGGCGGCAGGCCUAACACAUGCAAGUCGAACGGUAACAGGAAGAAGCUUGCUUCUUUGCUGACGAGUGGCGGACGGGUGAGUAAUGUCUGGGAAACUGCCUGAUGGAGGGGGAUAACUACUGGAAACGGUAGCUAAUACCGCAUAACGUCGCAAGACCAAAGAGGGGGACCUUCGGGCCUCUUGCCAUCGGAUGUGCCCAGAUGGGAUUAGCUAGUAGGUGGGGUAACGGCUCACCUAGGCGACGAUCCCUAGCUGGUCUGAGAGGAUGACCAGCCACACUGGAACUGAGACACGGUCCAGACUCCUACGGGAGGCAGCAGUGGGGAAUAUUGCACAAUGGGCGCAAGCCUGAUGCAGCCAUGCCGCGUGUAUGAAGAAGACCUUCGGGUUGUAAAGUACUUUCAGCGGGGAGGAAGGGAGUAAAGUUAAUACCUUUGCUCAUUGACGUUACCCGCAGAAGAAGCA
rnacentral:rRNA from 1 species